GAUCCGCAUUGUCGGCCCGGGGAAUUCAGCUCGGACUGUCGGCGACUGCGGGGCGGUCAGGAUCCUCACGGACCGCGCCUCGCGUCCGCCUGGCAUGAGCCGGGUGCACUUUCUUCGGGUCGAAUGCCACGUCCGGUUCUGCGUGCAGUCAGAUGCUCGGUGGGAAGGUGACCGACCGCUUCUGCGGACGGAGUUAUAGCCCAUCGCUGCGGACUUGCUGCGGGACCGAGGACGCUUGCCGUGCCUCAGGGCCCCCUGUCCAGCUCGCUCGCUCGACUGUGGCGGACUGCUUGCAGUGCGCCGCGACCGCCGGCGGGCGUCAGUCAGGGUAAGCUCGGGGUGCCUAGGGUCAGUGGCGAAUCGGUCGGUACUCCACCCGACCCGUCUUGAAACACGGACCAAGGAGUCUAACAUGUGCGCGAGUCAUGGGGUCGUACGAAACCCAAAGGCGCAAUGAAAGUGAAGGCGGCCUCCGGCUUGCCUAGGCAGGAUCCUGUCCCUCGGGGUGGGCGCACUGCCGGCCCGUCUCAGCAGCGUCGUCUGCGAGGCGGAGCAAGAGCGUACACGUUGGGACCCGAAAGAUGGUGAACUAUGCUUGAGUAGGACAAAGUCAGGGGAAACUCUGAUGGAGGUCCGCAGCGAUUCUGACGUGCAAAUCGAUCGUCAGACUUGAGUAUAGGGGCGAAAGACUA
rnacentral:rRNA from 1 species